rnacentral:rRNA from 1 species
GGUGAACGCUAGCGGCAGGCCUAAUACAUGCAGGUCGAACGGUAAAUAUUGUAGCAAUACGAUAUGAGAGUGACGUACGGGUGCGCAACACGUAUGCAACCUACCCAAAACUGGAGUAUAGCUCGGGGAAACCCGAAUUAACCCUUCAUAGUAUCACUGGAUGGCAUCAUUUGGUGAUUAAAACUCAGGUGGUUUUGGAUGGGCAUGCGUCUGAUUAGCUAGUUGGCGGGGUAAAGGCCCACCAAGGCGAUGAUCAGUAGGGGAACUGAGAGGUUGAUCCCCCACACUGGCACUGAGAUACGGGCCAGACUCCUACGGGAGGCAGCAGUAGGGAAUAUUGGUCAAUGGAUGCAAGUCUGAACCAGCCAUGCCGCGUGCAGGAAGAAGGCCUUCUGGGUUGUAAACUGCUUUUGCCAGAGGAUAAAAUGGGCGUGCGCGCCUAAUUGAAGGUACCUGGUGAAUAAGCCACGGCUAACUACGUGCCAGCCGCCGCGGUAA